rnacentral:rRNA from 1 species
UGGUUGACCUCGGAUCAGGAUAUCAAUAAGCAGAGG